rnacentral:rRNA from 1 species
UACGUAGGGGGCAAGCGUUGUCCGGAUUUAUUGGGCGUAAAGAGCGUGUAGGCGGCUAGAUAGGUCCGUUGUGAAAACUCGAGGCUCAACCUCGAGACGCCGGUGGAAACCAUCUAGCUAGAGUCCGGAAGAGGAGAGUGGAAUUCCUGGUGUAGCGGUGAAAUGACGCAGAUAUCAGGAAGAACACCCGUGGCGGAAGGCGGCUCUCUGGGACGUGACUGGACGCUGAGACGCGAAAGCGUGGGGAGCGAAACAGG